rnacentral:rRNA from 1 species
GAUGAACGCUGGCGGCGUGCCUAAUACAUGCAAGUCGAGCGAACGGACGAGAAGCUUGCUUUUCUGAUGUUAGCGGCGGACGGGUGAGUAACACGUGGAUAACCUACCUAUAAGACUGGGAUAACUUCGGGAAACCGGAGCUAAUACCGGAUAAUAUUUUGAACCGCAUGGUUCAAAAGUGAAAGACUGUCUUGCUGUCACUUAUAGAUGGAUCCGCGCUGCAUUAGCUAGUUGGUAAGGUAACGGCUUACCAAGGCAACGAUGCAUAGCCGACCUGAGAGGGUGAUCGGCCACACUGGAACUGAGACACGGUCCAGACUCCUACGGGAGGCAGCAGUAGGGAAUCUUCCGCAAUGGGCGAAAGCCUGACGGAGCAACGCCGCGUGAGUGAUGAAGGUCUUCGGAUCGUAAAACUCUGUUAUUAGGGAAGAACAUAUGUGUAAGUAACUGUGCACAUCUUGACGGUACCUAAUCAGAAAGCCACGGCUAACUACGUG